rnacentral:rRNA from 1 species
AGUGAACGCUGGCGGUAGGCCUAACACAUGCAAGUCGAACGGCAGCACAGUAAGAGCUUGCUCUUACGGGUGGCGAGUGGCGGACGGGUGAGGAAUACAUCGGAAUCUACUUUUUCGUGGGGGAUAACGUAGGGAAACUUACGCUAAUACCGCAUACGACCUACGGGUGAAAGCAGGGGAUCUUCGGACCUUGCGCGAUUGAAUGAGCCGAUGUCGGAUUAGCUAGUUGGCGGGGUAAAGGCCCACCAAGGCGACGAUCCGCAGCUGGUCUGAGAGGAUGAUCAGCCACACUGGAACUGAGACACGGCCCAGACUCCUACGGGAGGCAGCAGUGGGGAAUAUUGGACAAUGGGCGCAAGCCUGAUCCAGCCAUACCGCGUGGGUGAAGAAGGCCUUCGGGUUGUAAAGCCCUUUUGUUGGGAAAGAAAAGCAGCAGGUUAAUACCCCGCUGUUCUGACGGUACCCAAAGAAUAAGCACCGGCUAACUUCGUG